rnacentral:misc_RNA from 1 species
GAUGAAGAACGCAGCGAAAUGCGAUAAGUAAUGUGAAUUGCAGAAUUCAGUGAAUCAUCGAGUUUUUGAACGCAUAUUGCGCCCUCUGGUAUUCCGGGGGGCAUGCCUGUUCGAGCGUCAUUAAAUAACCCUCAAGCAUAGCUUGGUGUUGGGCUUUUUUACGUCCUUGACUGGGAUGGGCCUAAAAAUUAGUGGCGAUGGCUUUUUUACUUUCAAGCGUAGUAAAUCUCGUCUUGCUAAAGAGGAAAAAGAUUUUUUUUCUGCCAAAAAUUUUAACAUUUAAAGUUGACCUCGGAUCAGGUAGGAUUACCCGCUGAACUUAAGCAUAUCAAUAAGCGGAAGA